rnacentral:tRNA from 1 species
UUGGCUAUCGCCAAGUGGUAAGGCACAGGACUUUGACUCCUGCAUUCGUUGGUUCAAAUCCAACUAGCCCAG